CCUACGGUCGCACCAGUGGGGAAUAUUGCACAAUGGGCGCAAGCCUGAUGCAGCCACGCCGCGUGUGUGAAGAAGGCCUUCGGGUUGUAAAGCACUUUCAGCGAGGAGGAAGGUGGUGAACUUAAUACGUUCAUCAAUUGGCGUUACUCGCAGAAGAAGCACCGGCUAACUCCGUGCCAGCGGCCGCGGUAAUACGGAGGGUGCAAGCGUUAAUCGGAAUUACUGGGCGUAAAGCGCACGCAGGCGGUUUGUUAAGUCAGAUGUGAAAUCCCCGGGCUCAGCCUGGGAACUGCAUUUGAAACUGGCAAGCUAGAGUCUCGUAGAGGGGGGUAGAAUUCCAGGUGUAGCGGUGAAAUGCGUAGAGAUCUGGAGGAAUACCGGUGGCGAAGGCGGCCCCCUGGACGAAGACUGACGCUCAGGUGCGAAAGCGUGGGGAGCAAACAGGAUUAGAUACCCUCGUAGUC
rnacentral:rRNA from 1 species